GCUUGUCUCAAAGAUUAAGCCAUGCAUGUCUAAGUAUAAGUAUUAUACAGCGAAACUGCGAAUGGCUCAUUAAAACAGUUAUAGUUUACAUGAUAAUCGAAUUUACAUGGAUAACCGUGGUAAUUCUAGAGCUAAUACAUGCGUCAAAACCCAACUUCUGGGAGGGUUGUAUUUAUUAGAUGGAAACCAAUGCGGGGCAACCCGGUAUAUGGUGAUUCAUAAUAACUUUCGGAUCGAUCUUCGGAUCGAUGCAUCAUUCAAGUUUCUGCCCUAUCAGCUUUGGAUGGUAGGGUAUUGGCCUACCAUGGCUUUAACGGGUAACGGAGAAUUAGGGUUCGAUUCCGGAGAGGGAGCCUGAGAAAUGGCUACCACAUCCAAGGAAGGCAGCAGG
rnacentral:rRNA from 1 species